rnacentral:rRNA from 1 species
UACGGAGGGUGCAAGCGUUAUCCGGAUUCACUGGGUUUAAAGGGUGCGUAGGUGGGUAGGUAAGUCAGUGGUGAAAUCUUCGAGCUUAACUCGGAAACUGCCAUUGAUACUAUUUAUCUUGAAUACUUUGGAGGUAAGCGGAAUAUGUCAUGUAGCGGUGAAAUGCUUAGAUAUGACAUAGAACACCAAUUGCGAAGGCAGCUUACUACACAGUCAUUGACACUGAGGCACGAAAGCGUGGGGAUCAAACAGG